CCCUUAGAUGUUCUGGGCUGCACGCGCGCUACACUGAUGCACUCAACGAGUUUACGACCUUGCCCGAUAGGGUUGGGUAAUCUUUUUAAAAUGCAUCGUGAUGGGGAUAGAUUAUUGCAAUUAUUAAUCUUCAACGAGGAAUUCCUAGUAAGCCCGAGUCAUCAGCUCGUGCUGAUUACGUCCCUGCCCUUUGUACACACCGCCCGUCGCUCCUACCGAUUGAGUGCUCAGGUGAAUAAUUCGGACUGCAGCAAUGUUUGGAUCCCGAACGUUGCAGCGGAAAGUUUAGUGAACCUUAUCACUUAGAGGAAGGAGAAGUCGUAACA
rnacentral:rRNA from 1 species